rnacentral:rRNA from 1 species
AAUCAACGCUGGCGGCGUGCCUAACACAUGCAAGUCGAACGAGAAAGUGGGAGCAAUCCCAUGAGUACAGUGGCGAACGGGUGAGUAACACGUGACUAACCUACCUUCCAGGGGGGGAUAACCUCGGGAAACCGGGGCUAAGACCGCAUAACCUCGUGAGGUGAGAAUCCUUGCGAGCAACGGGGUAAGACGCUGGAUGAGGGGGUCGCGGCCGAUUAGCUAGUUGGCGGGGUAACGGCCCACCAAGGCGAUGAUCGGUAGCCGGCCUGAGAGGGCGCACGGCCACACUGGAACUGAAACACGGUCCAGACUCCUACGGGAGGCAGCAGUGGGGAAUUUUGCACAAUGGGGGAAACCCUGAUGCAGCAACGCCGCGUGGAGGAUGAAGUCCCUUGGGACGUAAACUCCUUUCGACCGGGACGAUAAUGACGGUACCGGUGGAAGAAGCCCCGGCUAACUCCGUGCCAGCCGCCGCGGUAAUAC